ACUCCUACGGGAGGCAGCAGUGGGGAAUAUUGCACAAUGGGCGCAAGCCUGAUGCAGCCAUGCCGCGUGUAUGAAGAAGGCCUUCGGGUUGUAAAGUACUUUCAGCAGUGAGGAGUGGUAUGUAAUAGCUAUAUCUCAUUGACUGUUAGCUGCAGAAGAAGCACCGGCUAACUCCGUGCCAGCAGCCGCGGUAAUACGGAGGGUGCGAGCGUUAAUCGGAAUUACUGGGCGUAAAGCGCAUGCAGGUGGUUUGUUAAGUCAGAUGUGAAAGCCCGGGGCUCAACCUCGGAAUUGCAUUUGAAACUGGCAAACUAGAGUACUGUAGAGGGGGGUAGAAUUUCAGGUGUAGCGGUGAAAUGCGUAGAGAUCUGAAGGAAUACCGGUGGCGAAGGCGGCCCCCUGGACAGAUACUGACACUCAGAUGCGAAAGCGUGGGGAGCAAACAGGAUUAGAUACCCUGGUAGCUACGAGU
rnacentral:rRNA from 1 species